rnacentral:pre_miRNA from 1 species
AGUGGAAUUGCUGGGUCAUAUGGUAAUUCUGUUUGACUUUUCGAGAAACCGCCAAACUGUUUUCCACAGUGGCUGCACCAUUUUACAUUCCCACUAGCAGU